rnacentral:rRNA from 1 species
AUUGAACGCUGGCGGCAGGCCUAACACAGGCAAGUCGAGCGAGCGGCGGACGGGUGAGUAAUGUAUGGGGACUGCCCGAUAGAGGGGGAUAACUAAUGGAAACGGUGGCUAAUACCGCAUACUAUCGGAUAACCCAUAUGGGAUUAGCUAGUAGGUGGGGUAAAGGCUCACCUAGGCGACGAUCUCUAGCUGGUCUGAGAGGAUGAUCAGGCACAUUGGGACUUAGACCAGGCGCAGACUCCUACGGAGGCAGCAGAGGGGAAUAUUGCACAAUGGGCGCAAGCCGAAUGCAGCCAUGCCGCGUGUAUGAAGAAGGCCUUAGGGUUGUAAAGUACUUUCAGCGGGGAGGCGUUACACUCAGAAGACGCACCGGCUAACUCCGUGCCAGCCGCCGCGGUAAUUC